ensembl:snoRNA
GUUGUUCCUAGAGGCGUUGCAGGUAUGGCUGCUGUGUCACAUAUUCGUCAGUAAGUAAGUGGCAGAGAAGAGAGAGGCUAUGUCUACAGUCAGCUUUUUGACUGGUGAACAUCUGAAUUAGUCGCCUAAGAGU